AGCUCCAAUAGCGUAUAUUAAAGUUGUUGCAGUUAAAAAGCUCGUAGUUGAACCUUAGGCAAGGCGGUCAGGUCGCCCUUUGGGUGUACUAGACUCGCUGCGCCUCACCUUCGGGGAACUAGUCGUGCUUCGGUGCGCUAGGGAACCGAGCCUUACUUUGAAGAAAUUAGAGUGUUUAAAGCAGGCUUUUGCUUGAAUACGCCAGCAUGGAAUAACAAGAUAGGACUUUGGUUCUAUUUUGUUGGUUUGAGGACCAAAGUAAUGAUUAAUAGGGACAGUUGGGGGCAUUAGUAUUCUAUAGUCAGAGGUGAAAUUCUUGGAUUUAUAGAAGACUAACUAAUGCGAAAGCAUUUGCCAAGGAUGUUUUCA
rnacentral:rRNA from 1 species